rnacentral:rRNA from 1 species
ACGAACGCUGGCGGCGUGCCUAAUACAUGCAAGUCGAACGGUCUUUUCUAUGGAAGCUUGCUUCCACUGAGAAGAUAGUGGCGGACGGGUGAGUAACACGUGGGUAACCUGCCCAUAAGAGGGGGAUAACAUCCGGAAACGGGUGCUAAUACCGCAUAGUUUUCUUGAUCGCAUGAUUGAGAAAGGAAAGACGGCCUUUGUGCUGUCGCUUAUGGAUGGACCCGCGGCGUAUUAGUUAGUUGGUGAGGUAAUGGCUCACCAAGACGAUGAUACGUAGCCGACCUGAGAGGGUGAUCGGCCACAUUGGGACUGAGACACGGCCCAAACUCCUACGGGAGGCAGCAGUAGGGAAUCUUCCGCAAUGGACGAAAGUCUGACGGAGCAACGCCGCGUGAGUGAAGAAGGUUUUCGGAUCGUAAAACUCUGUUGUCAGAGAAGAACAAGUCGGAGAGUAACUGCUCCGGCCUUGACGGUAUCUGACCAGAAAGCCACGGCUAACUACGUG